AGCAGCCGCGGUAAUUCCAGCUCCAAUAGCGUAUAUUAAAGUUGUUGCAGUUAAAAAGCUCGUAGUUGAAUUUCGGGAUUGACGUGAUGGUCGUGCCUUACGGGGUAUGAACUGUCACAGUUGAUUUCUCACCUUCUGGAGAAGCUCGAUGUCCUUAAUUGGGUGUCUUGCGGAACCAGGACCUUUACCUUGAAAAAUUAGAGUGUUUAAAGCAGGCAUUUUGCUCGAAUACAUUAGCAUGGAAUAAUAGAAUAGGACGGCAUGGUUCUAUUUUGUUGGUUUCUAGGAUCACCGUAAUGAUUAAUAGGGAUAGUUGGGGGCAUUAGUAUUCAAUUGUCAGAGGUGAAAUUCUUGGAUUUAUUGAAGACUAACUACUGCGAAAGCAUUUGCCAAGGAUGUUUUCAUUAAUCAAGAACGAAAGUUAGGGGAUCGAAGACGAUCAGAUACCGUCGUAGUCUUAACCAUAAACUAUGCCGACUAGGAAUCAGACGAUGUUAAUUUUUAAUGACU
rnacentral:rRNA from 1 species